AGAAGAACUAGGAGUUCCGAUUUGCUAGCAUGAAAAAUAACUUUCCUGAAGUAACUAUUGUGUUUCCCUUUCUUACCAUAGUUUGGACACCUUUAAGCCCCUCGAAGCUGGUGAGAUUACGUCAGAAGACGGAGGUGACUAAAAUAUAAGGGAAAAAAAUAACUUCAGAGUGUCCCAGUUCCCCAGAGUAUCUGCCUAAUGGACCACGAACUGGAUGGGAGACUGCAGAAGGGCUGCUGUUCAAAAGCAGGAUGACUCCAAUGUAUGCCACCGUGAGGAUGCUUCCAGAGCCCUCAGUCAGUGAUUCAGCAGUGUGUGCCGAGCAUCCACUGGAAAAACACUACAGAAGAAUAAAAUAUUAUUUGAUGUCUAAUGGGGGGCAGGGAGAUCACCAUAAAGGAUUGCUUAAAAACCAACACAUUUCUGCAAGCUUGAAAAGAAUGGUCUUCCCUGGUUGCUUCUGGGGCUGCUGGCCUUGGGGAUCUCUGCUAACCUCCCCAGGAAACUAUCUGCGGGCAAGAGUUUCUCUUUUGAUGCAGUUGUGGUUUUGCAAGUCUGUCUCUUUAGGAUUCUGA
rnacentral:lncRNA from 1 species